CCCGGUGGCAAUAUCGAAGGGGCCACACCUGAUCCCAUUCCGAACUCAGAAGUUAAGCCCUUUAGAGCCGAUGGUACUAGUCUGGAGACGGACUGGGAGAGUAGGACGCUGCCGGGU
rnacentral:rRNA from 1 species